AUGAACGCUGGCGACAUGGAUAAGGCAUGCAAGUCGAGUGGGUUUAGACCCACGGCGAACGAGGUAGUAACACGUAGGAACGCACCCGGAAGUCGGGCAUAACUCGCCGAAAGGCGAGAUAAUUCUCGAUGGUCUCGCAAGAGUAAAGUUUUAACGCUUCCGGAGCGGCCUGCGACGUAUCAGCUAGUUGGUAAGGUAAUGGCUUACCAAGGCUAUGACGCGUAGGGGAGGUGAGAGCCUGACCCCCACCGAUGGGACUGAGACACGGCCCAUACACCUACGGGUGGCUGCAGUCGAGAAUCUUCCGCAAUGGGCGAAAGCCUGACGGAGCGAUGUCGCGUGAUGGAUGAAGUCCCUCGGGACGUAAACAUCUUUUAUGAGGGAGAAAGUUAUUGAUAGUACCUCAUGAAUAAGGACCUGCUAAACUCGU
rnacentral:rRNA from 1 species